rnacentral:rRNA from 1 species
CCUACGGGGGGCUGCAGUGGGGAAUAUUGCACAAUGGGGGAAACCCUGAUGCAGCAACGCCGCGUGAGCGAUGAAGGUCUUCGGAUCGUAAAGCUCUGUUGUUAGGGAAGAACAAGUGCGGGAGGAAAUGACCGUACCUUGACGGUACCUAACGAGGAAGCCACGGCUAACUACGUGCCAGCAGCCGCGGUAAUACGUAGGUGGCAAGCGUUGUCCGGAAUUAUUGGGCGUAAAGGGUGCGUAGGCGGCCCUUCAAGUCAGAGGUGAAAGGCUACGGCUCAACCGUAGUAAGCCUUUGAAACUGUAGGGCUUGAGUGCAGGAGAGGAGAGUGGAAUUCCCAGUGUAGCGGUGAAAUGCGUAGAUAUUGGGAGGAACACCAGUUGCGAAGGCGGCUCUCUGGACUGUAACUGACGCUGAGGCACGAAAGUGUGGGGAGCGAACAGGAUUAGAUACCCCUGUAGUC